rnacentral:lncRNA from 1 species
ACCCAGGGACAGGCUGGCCUCGCAGGAGGCCUGGAGCCAGGCUGAGCCUCGGUUUCUCUCUCCACCACGGGACCUGAGGGUGGGUGGGCUCUUCAUGCCCCAGGCCAUGACCUCUCCUUGUUAAAGAGCCAUGAAUUGGUAGCAUUUCUGUGUGUCCCUUCUGAAUUUACCUUCUAACACGCAUCGCUUUUCUGCCGGGCCCACUUGUGCCCCUUCUGGUACGAGCCAUGAUGGCGACUUGCCGAGUGGUCUGGGCUUCGGCCUCCAGCCCUCCUGAUGGCCUGGGUGGGCCUCAGUUCCAUGUCUCCCCUCUGUUCUGUCACAGAUUGGGGCCCAAUGGGAGGAGAGCCGGGCAGAGGACUGCAUGGUGAGCACGGCACUGGCAGGCAUGCAGCCGUCCCCCGAGGGAGGCCCCGGAAUGGGACUUCCUGCACAGCCACCCCAUCCAAGUGGACUCCCACCUGGACCCCUCUGGGACCUGGAUUCUUGCCCUGCAGGAGGGGAUGGUGCUAAGGUGAGGUCUGUGGUCAGCACCCAGGAGCAGUUGGCCACUGUGGACCCAAGUCCUUGGAAGCUGCACUCCCAGGAGGAUCCACCAGCUGAACUCCUGCCCCAGCUGGAGCAAGCUGAGCCCACUGAGGCACAGCCCACAGGACCAGCUGCAGCCCAAGCUGAAGUCCCAUAUGUGGAGCCCGAGCCAGCUCCACCUGCAGCUUCCUGCCCAGCGCUGGGACCACAGCCAGAGUCCAUGGCAGCCCCUUCACCUGCUGCAGUGCUGGGGCACCUGGUGGCUGCACGGCAGUCAGUGUCACCUCCUGAGCUCCACCUGGCGCCAGCUCCUGGCCCCCUCCCACUGUUCCCCUCACUUACGCUGGCUCACGUUUUGGGAUUUACACUUGCCCUUAUUUAUUGGAUUUAUAUAAAUAAUAGAAGUAGCUUUUAAUAAAACUUAAAAUUUUGAUGUUUAAAAGGGUCAGCGCGGUGCCCUGAAGUGCCUUCUCCCUGUGUGCGC